GCCAAAGUCUAGUUGCUUCCGAACUUACCACCAAAAUGAUACCAAGAAGACACUCUUCAGAUGUCUUACAACCUAAUAUUUGAUUUUUGACUCCAACAUAUGAAAAAACCAAACCCUAUAGCACACAAGCAACACUUGCUAAAAAUUUCACCACCCUUCUUACAACUUUUGCCACUCAAUUUUUCCUUGCUUUUUUCUUAAAUUUUUUCCAAUUUUUUUUUAUGAUUUCCACAUUCCUAAUCUCUAGUUUUAAUUCAAAAUCAUAGUAGCAAACCAUGUGGGACAUCCCAUAUAAAUAAGGGACCAAG
rnacentral:lncRNA from 1 species